GGCUCAGACCCCAUGUGAGCCUGAAUUCCAUUUCGAACUGACAAGGGCCAGGCGAUGCCAGACUGCAGAACCUGUGGAAUGCGGAGGAGCAGCCUGGGAGGUCACCUGGGGCCUGUGGGAUUUCCAGCCUCAAAUACUGGUACACAAGAGGGCAUCCAAUCCAAUUUCGAACAAAGGCAUCUGAGGGGGAGUUUGCUGGGAAAUUCAACAAGUUUCCUGUCUUCUAAGAAUUCACCCUACCCAGUUUGGCUCAGUGGAUAGAGCACCAGCCUGCAGACUGAAGGGUCCCUGGUUCGACUCCGGUCAAGGACACAUGCCUGGGUUGCAGGCUCAAUCCCCAGUGGAGGGAGUGCAGGAGGCAGCCAAUCAAUGAUUCUCUCUCAUCAUUAAUAUUUCUAUCUCUCUC